rnacentral:misc_RNA from 1 species
AAGUCGUAACAAGGUUUCCGUAGGUGAACCUGCGGAAGGAUCAUUAGUGAAUAAACAAGUGCAGGUUGUGCUGGCCUUCUUGGUAUGUGCACGCCUGCCAAUGUUUCAUUCUAUCUUCCCACCUGUGCACUAUGUGUAGAUUCUGUAUGCUAUUGUCAGGCCUUUAUUGAGCUUGGUUGAGAGGAGUUGCUUGUUUUCGCAGACAAGCUCUCCUUGGGCAUGCAGGGUCUAUGUUUAUAUCAACACCAUAUGAAUGUUAUAGAAUGUGCUUUGGGCUUUUUGGCCUUUAAAUUAUAUACAACUUUCAACAACGGAUCUCUUGGCUCUC